rnacentral:misc_RNA from 1 species
GAUGAAGAACGUAGCGAAAUGCGAUAAGUAAUGUGAAUUGCAGAAUUCAGUGAAUCAUCGAAUCUUUGAACGCACAUUGCGCCCGCCAGUAUUCUGGCGGGCAUGCCUGUCUGAGCGUCAUUUCAACCCUCAUGCCCCUAGGGCGUGGUGUUGGGGAUCGGCCAAAGCCCGCGAGGGACGGCCGGCCCCUAAAUCUAGUGGCGGACCCGUCGUGGCCUCCUCUGCGAAGUAGUGAUAUUCCGCAUCGGAGAGCGACGAGCCCCUGCCGUUAAACCCCCAACUUUCCAAGGUUGACCUCAGAUCAGGUAGGAAUACCCGCUGAACUUAAGCAUAUCAAUAAGCGGAGGGA